UGGGGAAUCUUCCGCAAUGGGCGAAAGCCUGACGGAGCAACGCCGCGUGAGUGAAGACGGCCUUCGGGUUGUAAAACUCUGUGAUUCGGGACGGAAGAUAAGUAGACGAAUAAUCUGCAUAAGUGACGGUACCGAAAAAGCAAGCCACGGCUAACUACGUGCCAGCAGCCGCGGUAAUACGUAGGUGGCAAGCGUUGUCCGGAAUUAUUGGGCGUAAAGCGCGCGCAGGCGGCUACUUAAGUCCAUCUUAAAAGUGCGGGGCUUAACCCCGUGAUGGGAUGGAAACUGAGAAGCUGGAGUGUCGGAGAGGAAAGUGGAAUUCCUAGUGUAGCGGUGAAAUGCGUAGAGAUUAGGAAGAACACCGGUGGCGAAGGCGACUUUCUGGACGACAACUGACGCUUAGGCGCGAAAGCGUGGGGAGCAAACAGG
rnacentral:rRNA from 1 species